CUUCCUCAGCCGCCGGACACAAGCCUCACUCUUCAGCCGCCUGCACAGUAACUCUUCACCCAAACACAGCAGCUACCAUCUACCCAGCAGCUCCUUUUGAAUUUUUUCUUCUCUUGAAGCCAAAACGACGCCGUCCCUCCCUUUUCUUCUCAUUUUUCCUUCCCGGCCGCUGCAAACAGCCCUUUCGAUCUCCUUUCCUCUUCAUUUUUCCCGUCCUCUCCACCGGCAUCAACACAGCUCCUUCUUCAUCUCAGCCCCGGCCAAGACCCCUCCUGGCCGACCCAACUGCAGCUCUUCUUCCACCGCUAUUUCCCCCUCCAUCAAUCUUCCUCCGACGGCGCCUCCGAAGCCCACGUCGGCGCCCACAGAAACCAGCCACUCACAGCCGAAGCCCGCCCAAGACCUUCUCCUGGCCGACCCAGCUUCAACACCCACAGAUCCAUGGUCUUCAGUGUCAGGCGUAGCAGCGCCGUCCUCGACGGCCUCCACAGAGAUCUGACCGCCACCUCUCCUAACUUCUCCACCCGAAGAACGAAGCUGGCCACCACCGGAUCUACAGCUUAACAGCUCCCUCCCAUAACAGAGCAGGGACGAGGCAAAGGAGAAGCCGACCGAAGAAGAAGAAGAAGAAGAAAGAGCAGAUCGGAGAAGAAGAAAACAAAUUAAAAUCUACUAUUGUUGCGUUUUCUGGACUUUGCAGGUGGCUUUACUUCACACCGCCGGCGACGACAGGACGAGGGGAAGAAGGCGAUCC
rnacentral:lncRNA from 1 species